GUACACUCCUGCGGGAGGCAGCAGUGGGGAAUUUUGAACAAUGGGCGAAAGCCUGAUCCAGCAAUGCCGCGUGAGUGAAGAAGGCCUUCGGGUUGUAAAGCUCUUUUGUCAGGGAAGAAACGGUGAGAGCUAAUAUCUUUUGCUAAUGACGGUACCUGAAGAAUAAGCACCGGCUAACUACGUGCCAGCAGCCGCGGUAAUACGUAGGGUGCAAGCGUUAAUCGGAAUUACUGGGCGUAAAGCGUGCGCAGGCGGUUUUGUAAGUCUGAUGUGAAAUCCCCGGGCUCAACCUGGGAAUUGCAUUGGAGACUGCAAGGCUAGAAUCUGGCAGAGGGGGGUAGAAUUCCACGUGUAGCAGUGAAAUGCGUAGAUAUGUGGAGGAACACCGAUGGCGAAGGCAGCCCCCUGGGUCAAGAUUGACGCUCAUGCACGAAAGCGUGGGGAGCAAACAGGAUUAGAAACCCCAGUAGUCC
rnacentral:rRNA from 1 species